UUGAUCUCGCAGCUGAUUUGUUUCUAAUAUAUGUGUUAACACUAUCAAUUUUCCCUGGAUUUUUGUAUGAAAAUACUGGAUCUCACCAGCUAGGAACAUGUCAACUACAAAUGGUAUUCCUGAUCUUUUAAAGAAAAAUAUCGUGAUGUUCUGAACUCUGUUGCCAGUUUACCUGCAUUUUUCUGGUUUCUGAAAAUGCAAUGGAUCAGGAACGUUUUUGGCGAAGUUCUUUAUGUAAUUUUUCAGUUCUUACUGCGUUUACUCAACCUGUAGUUACAGCAACUUAAUGAUUCAGCAUUUAAAACUUUUCUUUGGCUAUUCAAGAACAUUUGUCACAGCUAGGUGGUUAUUAUCUGCUGUAUUUGAAUUGAUAUGAUGGGUUAGCAGAAUUGCUUUGUGUUUCUAUUUUUCUAAUGCUAAUGCUGAUUUAUUUCUUCUU